CUGCUCUGAGGUGACCGGUUCCCUCGCUCGGUGGGCUUGAGGUGGAGCGUUGGUGGCAUUUCCUCAGCUGCAGGUGGAAAGGUGCUGAGGGAAUGGCCCUGGAUUUCGGUGGCAGCUGGGCUGGGGGCUGUGGAGGGUCUGGGCAGACCGAGGUGCCACAGGGGCACUGAGCCCCUCGGGUGUGGGUGUCUGGGGUGGGCCUGGGCGCCUGUGGGUGCUCGGUGUGGGUGACUGGGGUGGGCCUGGGCGCCUGUGGGUGCUCGGUGUGGGUGUCUGGGGUGGGCCUGGGCACCUGUGGGUGAUGGCUCCUGUGGGGUGCUCAGUUCCACAUCAGCUGAGGUACCAAAGAGGUGCUGCUGGGGUGUGCAGGUCUGUGGCAGUCAUGGCCGCACACGGUCACAUAUGUUUAUAUGUCAUCAUAAUCAACACUAUAUUUUCCUGAGUUUUAGUAACCUAGCAUUUCUACAGAAGUAAAGUGUUUUUCAUGUUUUACUUCCCCAGUCCCUCUCAGAAGACUUGUGAAGCAGGCUGCACAGUCCCUGUGUGGGAAGGAAAUGAAUGGCAGAAGAGCAUGUCUCUGCAGAAGACCUGACUGGUUGGUGUAAUGUAAGGACGAAACAAAGAGGAGUCCCAGCCCUCGUUGAUUUCUUCUUAGAAGUAUGCCCAGGAGGGAAAACCAGCCAUCCCCAUGAUGCAGCUUUUUUUCUGAAUCCCUGUGGACUGCAGAGCAGGAGGAAGAAGAGGAAGGGAGUGAGUACUCUGCAAAAUAUUCCCCUUGGCUGCUACCCAAGAACUCCUAUGGGAAACUAAGGUACUUUUGUGUGUGGUGCUAAAACAAACCUUAUCUACACCACAAAAAUUAGAGCUGCGUUGGUUAUCUGCUUGCUUUGCCGAGGGUAGCUGUACUCGGGACUGUUCUGGUUCAUACCUGUUCUGCUCACCACGUUCGUCCAUGUUUCCAGGGAGGUCCUCAUCGUGGCUGCAGAAACAGCGCUGAACUUGGUUUGUCCUCGUCUACACUUGCAGCUAAUUCACAUUCAGCCUCGGUGCAGCCGCUUCUGUUGCUGACACCUGUUGUCAGCAGUCGGUAAUUUCUUUUUUUAGGACAAGCCUACAUUGCCCUGGAGCUCAGAAAGGGCCUUAAAUUAGACUUAAUUCUAUUCAGAUGUAGUUAGCGGUAUUUAAUUAGCACAGUCCUGAAGCAAAAGUCAG
rnacentral:lncRNA from 1 species